rnacentral:rRNA from 1 species
CAGCAGCCGCGGUAAUACCAGCACCUCGAGUGGUCAGGAGGUUUAUUGGGCCUAAAGCAUCCGUAGCCGGUUGCAUAAGUUUUCGGUUAAAUCUAUGCGCUUAACGUAUAGGCCGCCGAAAAUACUGUGCAGCUAGGGAGUGGGAGAGGUACACGGUACUCGAUAGGAAGGGGUAAAAUCCUUUGAUCUAUUGAUGACCACCUGUGGCGAAGGCGGUGUACCAGAACACGUUCGACGGUGAGGGAUGAAAGCUGGGGGAGCAAACCGGAUUAGAUACCCGCGUAGUCCCUGUCUCUUAUAC